GGACGCUCACUCGGCUCCGAGGUGCAGUCGAGUCCCGCACUCCGUCGGAGGUGCACGGCCCUCCGGCGCGCCGCGCUAUAUUUAGACACGAGCGUUGACGCCGCGCGCUACUCCGGCGCCGGGGCUGUCCUCACGAGUCAGGUACCUGAAGUAGCGCGCGGCGUCCGCGCUUCUCUCCGCAUCUCCUGGACACGCAGCAGCACCGAGGCCGCCGCACGCCCAUUGUACUUCAUCAGGUGCUCUGGUGAUAAUAGUUCCAGGCGCUUGUUGGAGUACACUUACCGUGUUGGCGGUUUUCUUCAGAGCACGUGGCCGGCGCGUGGCAGGUCGAGGUGAGCUCGCGGAGGUGUGGUGAGUCACCUUAUCGCCGGUUGAUGACCCGCACCCCCUCCUAGCCGCACCCUGCUAAUUUUUGCCGAGAUGUCCAGAUCACAUUUGCAUUGGUCGUCGAACUCCCCAUCUAGAACAGACAAAGGCAGCCUAAACUGGUUUUGGCAUAUUUCGUCGGCGACCGCCGCCCGACGCCGUUUUCCUGUAUGAUUCUUAUGGGCAUGUCGUCGUGUGCGCGAUGUGAUUAAUUUUCAGACAGCUUCAAGGCCUUAAAAAGUGAAAUGGAAGGCACCAUUAAUCAUCGUUACACGGCUGCUGCACAAAAUGUCGCCUCCAUUAUUCGCUGCUGAUUGUCCACGCCCACAAGAAUUGUCGUCUUUCGAAUUUAAUGAACAUUUAUUGGUAAUAUAUCGAAGGCUUAGUGGUUAUAGUUGCAUUACAUGAGUAUGUCCUGAACAAAUUACAAUUUCGGAUACAAUAGACUAUUAAUUAAUUUAUUAUUUAAUGACUGCUCUUGUGAAUUUAUUAAAUUUUAUAUCAUCCUAUCUAUGUAUAUAAUUAUCAGAAUUUCAAUCCGCGAAAUACUAGAUUCAACACUAACGUACAGUAGUUUCACACAACACUAAAUUGCGUUUUAUAUAUUCAAUACACACGACUCAUAUGAACUUAUAAGUAUAUUUAUUUAUUUAAGUUUACCACAUCGUACAUAUUUUACAAAAUCUUCCAUCUAAAAUGUAUGACAAUUUAAGUAAACAUAAGUAUUACAAAAACAAUAUUAAAUAGAUAUAAAUAGUAUAUAAACAUACACAAAUAUUCUACAGACAGAAGUAUGAAAUCAUAAAUAAAAUUAUAUUCACUAAACUUUAGCUGGAGAUGGUGAUCUGCUCUUGCCCCAACAUCAUCAAAAUGGGACGCCGGGUCACAGCAUACCAAGUAAUUAUACAUAUAUGAAACUAAAACAAUUAGCUGUAGCCUAAAACUUGUUUGUUCGUUAUUCUUUGCUUUAAUUAUAAUUAAUUGUUAGAACUUAAACUCUUUAUAAUAUAUUAGCUUUAUUUAUAUUUCCAAGUUUCCAACCCGACACUAUUCGGUUAAUUGUAAACUAGACAAAAAAUUUGCGAAUAACACAAGUACGUCACUUCUAUUGUCAGACUAUCAUUAGAUAGGCAGAAACGAUCUAGCCUAGGUCGUUGAACUUGUGGCAUUGGGAGAUUUCCUAGAUAUUUUGUACAGAGAUUGGCUAUUAAAUACAAAGGUCUUCAUUCCUGAAGGUCGACGGAUAUUAUUAAUAUGUUUCACUUGUGGUCUGACCAGAGACAUAAACGUUUUAUUAAGUAUACGAUGUUUCUGACAGCUGAACGCAUAGAAUUUCCAUACAGGGUUACUACCAAUAAAAUAAGCUAGAUAUUGAUAAUGUGUAGAAGAAAAAAAAAUAAUUGACAGGACACAAUGCGUUGUUUUCUGUCUAUUAAAUAGUUCAUAUUUCACGUACAUUAAAUUUGAAUUCAUAAUGUCAUGGAAAUUAAAAACAAAUUUCAAAAAUGUAAUACAUUAAUCUAGUAAUGGGUUUUGUGCUACGUACUAUAUCACAUGCGUUUAUUAAUUGAAGAGCAAAUAAUAUUUUUUUUUAAUUACUCCAUAAUAUUUUAAAUUACAUAUUUAACACACUACCACUUAAACGUCGGGAAAGUGUGCAAAUUAAUAUUUAUCCAUCGAAUUUGAAUAAAGGAUUAACUAUAUUUUGUAUAAUAAUACUGUACGUAUAAAACACUGCCGCAGUCUUUAGGACGACAAACGCAAUAUAAAACCUGCUUGAAAAGGGACGUUUAAAAAGUAAAAAGGAAUUAAAUGAGCAAAAGAUAUUUGCAAAUACGAGUUUAGAAUACAAGUAUGGAAGCAGAUAUCAAGUUCAAUGCUCCAAAUAUCUAUAUUUAAUCGCGUGGUGCGUCACUCUAAAGUCUAACACGAUGUUUAUAAAAUGCUAAUAAAUCGAAAGCGUUUAAUAUUAUUUUGAUUUAAAAAACUAAAAUUAACUAAUUCUUACUAUCGUUAAAAUACAUAUGUGAUUCGUUGGGUUCUUCUACGGGAAGUUCAUCUUAACAAAACAGUUCUUUAAUGUACAAAUGGUCGAUCAACUUAGUUCUAAUCUUAUCAUUAUAAUAAAUGCUUGUCUAUGUUACUAUUGUUUAAUAUUUAUUUUACCAUGCCAAAAAACAAAUUAAAAUUAAUUUAUUUUGUAUACGAUUGUUUAUGUUUAAUUAAUGUUUUGGUUGUAUUUGAAAAUUGUCACUUGAGUAGGUAAUAAGGACAAAACAUUGGAUAAUUUUAGGGUUAUAUGAUAAAAGGAGUAAAAUCAAUGUAAGAAACUGUUGUAGCUUUUAUAACAUUAUUUGCCUUAAUUCAUUAUUGUUGUUUGUUUGCAGUAGUAUAAAUUUUGGCGGUGCCAAUUGACAUUGAAAUAUAUGAUUUACGUCACAAUAGUUGAUAGUCUUUUGUCUUUACAGAGACUCUAUUGUCGUUUAUACUCACUUGUCGAAAUUGAUCCUAGACAUGGCGUUUAUAUAGAAAACUUUAUCCUACCAGCUACAUUUUGUAAAUAGGGACCAUUUUGUUUAUUAAUUGUUUGUUUUUAUAUUUGUUCGUAAGUGCCGAUAUAAAUAAUGGAUAUUUUGAUUUGAUUAGAUGAUACGAUUAUCUUGUGAUAACUUAAUUGUUAAGAAUGUUUACCAAAUAUUUGUACGCUGUAUAUGUAAAUAGAUAUUAAAUCUUACUUUUUUAA